rnacentral:rRNA from 1 species
UACGUAGGGUGCGAGCGUUGUCCGGAAUUAUUGGGCGUAAAGAGCUCGUAGGCGGUGUGUCACGUCGUUCGUGAAAACCUGCAGCUUAACUGUGGGCGUGCGGUCGAUACGGGCAUCACUGGAGUUCGGCAGGGGAGACUGGGAUUCCUGGUGUAGCGGUGAAAUGCGCAGAUAUCAGGAGGAACACCGGUGGCGAAGGCGGGUCUCUGGGCCGGUACUGACGCUGAGACGCGAAAGCGUGGGGAGCGAACAGG